UUCACCCCUCCCGCCGCGGCUCCGCCCCGGUCGCCCCCGCAGCCCCGGAACGCGCCUCCACAGCAGCCCCACCGCCUCCCACCUGUGAGAAACAAGCUCACGUAUAUAAAAAAAAAAAAAAAAAAAGUUUUAUUCGGGGACAAAGUCAGUGGAGCAAAGAAUACAGCGCUGGGCGCAGUGGCGCGCACCCCGCCGCGGCCGGGGGCUUCGUUUUAUAGAGCAACCAGGAGAUUUCAUUGGUUAAGCAAAAAUGGUUCACAGAGUGGUGACUUUGCCUUCAGGAGGAAAUCCACCUUGGCAAGUUCGCAGCUUCUCUCUUUUUUUCCCUGCCCAGUUCUACAGCUGUGGCUGUUGGUUAUCUUCCAGUUUUCAGCUCCACAAAAAAUUGUAGUAGUGCAACUGAAGAAAUGACUCUGGAGCAGUAGCUGAUGUGGCUGUUCAAAGAAAUGUGCUGAGGUCCAGCUGGCAGUGUUGCGGGGAUGAAUCUGCUCCUAAACAGGUGCAAAUCCUCUGCCUUCCUACAUUGCCUUCCACAACUUCGUUCAAGCUCACCUCUGAAUACAGCCAGACAUUUGACAUUCCCUGGGACGUCUCCUGUAAGGACUCCUCGCAGACUUCAGAAGCGUGUGUGGCUUGGAAAGAUAUCUCUGUGUUCAUUUAGUUUCACUUCCUUUUCAGAGAGAGAAAUGUAGGGUAGCACUGGUUUGAAUUAACAGAUUUCCUUCUGCCUUAAAGUUUAUUUGAAUUAAGAUAAUCAGCCCUCUCUUCAGUUUUUCUUCUAGGUGCAUUUAUAAAUCAGCAUUUUUAUCUGAGUUUACUACUAACCAUGCCUGAGUGUGACAGUAAUGAAGCAAUUCACCCAUCACUUUGGGAUUAUUUGUUGUAUUACAGUAGGAACUUCUUGUCAGACAUGAAGAGCUCUUUGUACUAUGAAGACAACUUACACUGCUCUUUUGUACCGAAUAUACUACUACACUAUCCUGAAGCCAAUUAAACCAUGUGGUAUGUUAAAAAAAGGGCAUGCUUGUAUUCGUAUGUUCUUGAUUUAGACUCACUGAAGAAAUCUAUGGUAAUUCUGCCGUUUCAUUGGCUCUAGACCAUGUUUCAUAAAAAUUUGGCAUUGUAGUGUAUGUUGGGUGUAAAUCUAUCACUUUUUAAUAAGACAGGAAACAGUAUUUCUGGUUUCCCCUUUACAGGCCAAAUUCAUCAUCUGCCUCUCAGAGAAAGUGUUCUGAUGUGGGACCUGGAAAAGCCUUUGUGACCAAACCUCUGGAGUAGGUUCUUUUUUUUUUCAGUGUCAACUAUAUGCUUGUAACAAAGACUGUUAACCAAGAUUGUGCUUUCCAAAACAUAUUGUCUCCAAUGCCAGAAGGCAUCAUGAUGUUUAAAUUAAGGUUCUGGGAGGCUACCUCAUCCAUCUAAAAUACAGUGUCCCGAGUCCCAUUCCUACAGAUUCAUGUAACUUUUCAAUUUUUAUUGUGAACAAUAUAAUUCUUUUAUAUCUGCCCUAUUACUCUUUCUGCUUUCUUUUGAAACACAAGUAUGUUGCCAGUUUGUUGCCUCUGCUGUAUUUUCAACUACUGUCUUUAUUUUGCUUCUUCCAGAGAUGCUCAUUAAAAAGUGUACUUUUAGUCAA